rnacentral:rRNA from 1 species
GACGAACGCUGGCGGCGUGCUUAACACAUGCAAGUCGAACGGAAAGGCCCUGCUUUCGUGGGGUGCUCGAGUGGCGAACGGGAGAGUAACCCGUGAGUAACCUGCCCUGGACUUUGGGAUAACUUCAGGAAACCGGGGCUAAUACCUGCUAGGAGCUCCUGCUGCAUGGUGGGGGUUGGAAAGUUUCGGCGGUUGGGGAUGGACUCGCGGGUUAUCAGCUUGUUGGUGGGGUAGUGGCUUACCAAGGCUUUGACGGGUAGCCGGCCUGAGAGGGUGACCGGCCACAUUGGGACUGAGGUACGGCCCAGAGUCCUACGGGAGGCAGCAGGGGGGAAUAUUGCACAAUGAGCGGAAGCGUGAUGCAGCAGCGCCGCGUUCGGGAUGACGGCCUUCGGGUUGUAAACCGCUUUCGCCUGUGACGAAGCGUGAGUGACGGUAAUGGGUAAAGAAGCACCGGCUAACUACGUG